rnacentral:tRNA from 1 species
CUCGGGGUGGGAGCAAUCUGGGAAGCUCCUCCGGCUCCUAACCCGAAGGUCAUAGGUUCAAAUCCUAUCCCCGCAACCA